rnacentral:rRNA from 1 species
UCGAGAAUCUUUCACAAUGGGGGCAACCCUGAUGGAGCGACGCCGCGUGGAGGAUAAGGUCUUCGGAUUGUAAACUCCUGUCAUGCGAGAGUAAGGCCAACGUGUUAACUGCACGGUGGAUUGACAGUACCGCAAGAGGAAGAGACGGCUAACUCUGUGCCAGCAGCCGCGGUAAUACAGAGGUCUCAAGCGUUGUUCGGAAUUACUGGGCGUAAAGGGUGCGUAGGCUGCGCAGAAAGUCAGGUGUGAAAUCCGGGAGCUCAACUUCCGAAUUGCACCCGAUACUCCUGUGCUAGAGGAUUGGAGAGGAGCUUGGAAUUCUCGGUGUAGCAGUGAAAUGCGUAGAGAUCGAGAGGAACACUAGUGGCGAAGGCUGGGCUCUGGACAAUAUCUGACGCUGAGGCACGAAGGUCAGGGGAGCAAACG